rnacentral:rRNA from 1 species
AGUGAACGCUGGCGGUAGGCCUAACACAUGCAAGUCGAACGGCAGCACAGUAAGAGCUUGCUCUUACGGGUGGCGAGUGGCGGACGGGUGAGGAAUACAUCGGAAUCUACUUUUUCGUGGGGGAUAACGUAGGGAAACUUACGCUAAUACCGCAUCCGACCUACGGGUGAAAGCAGGGGAUCUUCGGACCUUGCGCGAUUGAAUGAGCCGAUGUCGGAUUAGCUAGUUGGCGGGGUAAAGGCCCACCAAGGCGACGAUCCGUAGCUGGUCUGAGAGGAUGAUCAGCCACACUGGAACUGAGACACGGUCCAGACUCCUACGGGAGGCAGCAGUGGGGAAUAUUAGACAAUGGGCGCAAGCCUGAUCCAGCCAUACCGCGUGGGUGAAGAAGGCCUUCGGGUUGUAAAGCCCUUUUGUUGGGAAAGAAAAGCAGCAGGUUAAUACCCCGCUGUUCUGACGGUACCCAAAGAAUAAGCACCGGCUAACUUCGUG